GGUGAGUAACACGUGGAUAACCUACCUAUAAGACUGGGAUAACUUCGGGAAACCGGAGCUAAUACCGGAUAAUAUUUUGAACCGCAUGGUUCAAAAGUGAAAGAUGGUCUUGCUGUCACUUAUAGAUGGAUCCGCGCUGCAUUAGCUAGUUGGUAAGGUAACGGCUUACCAAGGCAACGAUGCAUAGCCGACCUGAGAGGGUGAUCGGCCACACUGGAACUGAGACACGGUCCAG
rnacentral:rRNA from 1 species